rnacentral:rRNA from 1 species
CCCUUAGAUGUUCUGGGCCGCACGCGCGCUACACUGACGGAGGCAGCGAGCGUGUCCUUCGCCGGCAGGUGCGGGCAAUCCUGCGAGUCUCCGUCGUGCUGGGGAUAGAUGGUUGCAAUUGUCGAUCUUGAACGAGGAAUUCCUAGUAAGCGCGAGUCAUCAGCUCGCGCUGAUUACGUCCCUGCCCUUUGUACACACCGCCCGUCGCUACUACAGAGUGCCCGUGUCCAAGAAACGGUCGGACCUGUGCGGCCUCUCCGGGCGACCGGAGGGCCGUUACGGGGAAGACCCUUUAUUUGACGCGGGUCGAUGAAGUAAAAGUCGUAACA